rnacentral:rRNA from 1 species
GACGAACGCUGGCGGCGUGCUUAACACAUGCAAGUCGAACGGAAAGGCCCUGCUCUUGUGGGGUGCUCGAGUGGCGAACGGGUGAGUAACACGUGAGUAACCUGCCCUUGACUUUGGGAUAACUUCAGGAAACUGGGGCUAAUACCGGAUAGGAGCUCCUGCUGCAUGGUGGGGGUUGGAAAGUUUCGGCGGUUGGGGAUGGUCUCGCGGCUUAUCAGCUUGUUGGUGGGGUAGUGGCUUACGAAGGCUUUGACGGGUAGCCGGCCUGAGAGGGUGACCGGCCACAUGGGUACUGAGAUACGGACCAGACGCCUACGUGAGGCAGCAGUGGGGAAUAUUGCACAAUGGGCGGAAGCCUGAUGCAGCAGCGCCGCGUGCGGAAUGACGGCCUUCGGGUUGUAAACCGCUUUCGCCUGUGACGAGGCGUGAGUGACGGUAAUGGGUAAAGAAGCACCGGCUAACUACGUG